rnacentral:lncRNA from 1 species
GUCAAAAGUUUUCCUAUUUUUCCAUGAAAAUUACCGAUGAAUUCAUAAGAAGGAACGGGAAAGGAAACAGUGCAUACAAGUAGGCGAGUAGCCUACCAUCACUAUACCACCAACUCUUUUAUUAAAAAUCGUCGUUCUGCUGAAUGCAUCAUGCAGUUAAUACAGGUCACUACCCCAGUGUGGACAUGUUUGUUUUUCUGAACAUGUUUUUCAACAAAUAACUCAUUGACGUGCAAGGAAAGCUUAAAGCUUACCCAUGGGUAAUCUUCAGGUUAGCAGCAGCAGCUUAAGAGAAGAAUGUGAACAAAUGCAGGGCACAUACCAACAUGUGCUGUAUUUUUCUGAAUGUUGAGCACGAGCAAUAGAUUCAACAUGACUAACUGUUUGAUGCCAAAGUUAGUUGGAAUUGGAACUCAACUCACUGUAUGUACUCUAACACAGAUAACUGGUGCUGUUGCCCUACAGCCACAGGCAGGAAAAUCAUUCUUUUUUUUUUUCAGAAAAUUGGAAAGCUGCUGGAGUAAUCUGGUGUUCAUGCUAAUUAAUUUCAUUUCGUGCCAGCUAGUGAAAGCCGAAAGGCAUGUCGAAUUCAAGUUGAGCUACUGCGUGUUGUCUCGAAGCAAGCAUUGCAUCCAGCC